CCAAUAGCGUAUAUUAAAGUUGUUGCAGUUAAAAAGCUCGUAGUUGAAUUUCGGGAUCAAGGAAUCGGUCAUGCCUCGGUAUGUACUGGUUUUAUUGGUUCUCACCUUCUAAAGAACCAUAAUGUCAUUUAUUUGAUGUUAUGGGGAAUUAGGACUGUUACCUUGAAAAAAUUAGAGUGUUUAAAGCAAGCUCACGCUUGAAUACAUUAGCAUGGAAUAAUGAAAUAGGACAUCCGAUUCUAUUUUGUUGGUUUCUAGGAUCGAUGUAAUGAUUAAUAGGGAUAGUUGGGGGCAUUAGUAUUCAAUUGUCAGAGGUGAAAUUCUUGGAUUUAUUGAAGACUAACUACUGCGAAAGCAUUUGCCAAGGAUGUUUUCAUUAAUCAAGAACGAAAGUUAGGGGAUCGAAGACGAUCAGAUACCGUCGUAGUCUUAACCAUAAACUAUGCCGACUAGGGAUCGGAUGAUGUUUAUUUUUUAGUGACUCAUUCGGCACCUUACG
rnacentral:rRNA from 1 species